GUGUCUAGUUAACUGAUCAGCUCUCAGUGUAUUUAAACCCCGUGUUUCGCCUCCUCUGUUGGCUCCAGUGUUGCGUUUUGCCACCAUGUGCUGUUUUGUGUGGUGUGUGUUCAUCCCUGUGUGCUGCCUGUCGGACUGCAUUUACCUCGGUUUGGAUUUUUGGACUGAUUUUCUGGACUCUGGAUUUCUGCCUGCUCCCCUCAUUGGUUCCGGAUGAACUGUUUGGACUGCUCCUUUGGGUUUUUUUGACUUCCGCCUGCCCUCACAAUUAAGGGCCCCGGGUGCAGUAAUCCACGGGUGUUUCUAAUGGAGAAGAAGGGCGAUGGAUCACCAUGGGUCAUUCAGCACAUAUGGGAGGAGCUGAGACAGGAGCAGGAAGUGUGAGUGAGGAAAGCAAGAUCCAAAUCAGCAAAUUGGGAAGCAGCCUCGCUCUAGAUAACGGAUACAGAUUCCACAAUCUUGUAGAAACAUUCUGUGAAUCUCCCCGAUGAAGGCCCUGUGUAAAAGGAAGGUAGUUGGGGCAGUUACAUUUGCAGUGUAUCAUUAUUGGCUGACACUGCCAGUUUAUAGGCAACAAGUAGAGGCUUCUAUGUGUUAUAACACCAGUCACUGCUGAUCUAGUGGACCCUCCUGUCGUUCUGAUCACAGUUUAACCCUGGUUUUCUCAGGGCGAUGAAAAGCACAUUGUACUGCAAAAUGUUCCCCUUCAUUCCUGCUUUCCCUUAGUAGAUAUCAAGAGGGAUUGCCUCGCCAUCAUUCACCAUACUGUAUCCACUCAUGUCCGUGGUUAUUUUUCCUUUCUUUUUUCUAAAAUGUCCUUUACUUAAUGUCAUUGGUGUUUUCACCGAUCCGGGGAUAAGCCUCAAGGGCCCUGAACCUUUUUGUCAACAGACUGAAAUGUGACAGGGAAUUGUGGGUACUGCAUUGUGCACUGGGGAGACACUCUUGGGACAUAUUGGCUUUCGAGGUCACGUGACCGACGGAACCAGCCAAAGGCAUCAGAAAUCCUUGGGAUUUUUAACAAGACAGGCAAGCUGUGUUAGAACAAAGCUCAAAUGGUUAAACAGAGUAGAAGCAAUGGGGAGGAAGACAAAACCUUUGUCCUUGAGGUAAAUGAAUGUUGUUGUGCUUUUGUGGAAGUGUUGCUUUGUUCACAGAAAAAUGAUGUUCAUGUGCCAGCUUCUGCUCCUUCCACAACUCAUUUCGCUGUCACUCAGUAUAAUAUGCCUUCACUUCGCUCCAUGCAUCAUCCAUGAAAAAAUGGAAAUCUAUCAACUGUCCAGUCGUGGCUUUGGUGCAGAACCAUGUGUAGCAAAGAGAGGAGGACAAAGUCAGGGGUGGGAGCUCACAGCUGUCAAUCAGUAAAUGAACCCACUUCUGUUCCACUUCUCUUCUGACACCGAGGCUAGAAGCUGUAUUCUUUAAGUAUAGCAGCUGGAAGACUUGGUUGAGGCUGAUUCACAGCGGAGCAAGCUCCCAAGCUUACACACUGCAAUUUACUUUAAUGAGUCUAUUGUUGGUUUU